rnacentral:rRNA from 1 species
UAGGGAAUCUUCGGCAAUGGGGGAACCCUGACCGAGCAACGCCGCGAGAGUGAAGAAGGUUUUCGGAUCGUAAAGCUCUGUUGUUAAGGAAGAACGAGUGUGAGAAUGGAAAGUUCAUGCUGUGACGGUACUUAACCAGAAAGGGACGGCUAACUACGUGCCAGCAGCCGCGGUAAUACGUAGGUCCCGAGCGUUGUCCGGAUUUAUUGGGCGUAAAGCGAGCGCAGGCGGUUAGAAAAGUCUGAAGUUAAAGGCAGUGGCUCAACCAUUGUAGGCUUUGGAAACUGUUUAACUUGAGUGCAGAAGGGGAGAGUGGAAUUCCAGGUGUAGCGGUGAAAUGCGUAGAUAUAUGGAGGAACACCGGUGGCGAAAGCGGCUCUCUGGUCUGUAACUGACGCUGAGGCUCGAAAGCGUGGGGAGCGAACAGG